AGAGGCUCCCCAGAAGAUUGCUGCCGCACUGGAUGACCUCGAGAAGCAACCCCAGAACAGAACAAUAUUGAAAUUGUUUUUUGGACUGUUGGGUGGAUACCUCAUUGCCAUAACUGGCCACCGAAAGGGAGUGGUCAUCAACAUGACUACUGAGGAGGUUGAAAUGGCAGAAAAAACUAAGCAGGGUGCCCGCAUCAUCCGUGUUAAACAGCACAAAACUCAAAGAUACCAUGGGGAAGCAGCUGUCCCCCUGUACAAGAAUGAGUAUACCUGGUUGCAGCGUUACAAUCAUAUUAGAGAGUAUAUUGAAGGGGGUUCGGAGGCAUCAACUUUUUUCCACAGUUCCAGUGGAGGUGUUCUUCAUAGACUACUGGAAUUUUUCAAGGCAGCCUGGGAGAUGAUGAAUCUGGGGAU